CAGUCGCCGCGGGAAUACGUAGGUGGCAAGCGUUGUCCGGAAUUAUUGGGCGUAAAGGGCUCGCAGGCGGUUUCUUAAGUCUGAUGUGAAAGCCCCCGGCUCAACCGGGGAGGGUCAUUGGAAACUGGGAAACUUGAGUGCAGAAGAGGAGAGAGGAAUUCCACGUGUAGCGGUGAAAUGCGUAGAGAUGUGGAGGAACACCAGUGGCGAAGGCGACUCUCUGGUCUGUAACUGACGCUGAGGAGCGAAAGCGUGGGGAGCGAACAGGAUUAGAUACCCGUGUAGUCCCUGUCUCUUAUAC
rnacentral:rRNA from 1 species